GCUGAAUAUACUUGUGAAGAUACACUGAGAUACUUAUUCAUAUUGUCAAAUCAAUUAGUCUGCACUAGUGCUUACUAGAAAACCAAACGCACCAAUUGGGGGAAACAUCGAAUGUUAGAAAAGGAGAGAUAAAACAAUAUAGUAGAUACAGUUAAAGAUAGAUUGGUAAGGAGAGCAGGGAUGGGGGGACUAUGAAACUACAGGGAAAAAUGGAAUAUAACCAUUUGAAUGCUACAUACAGGCACGUUCAACCUUUUUAUUGUUAUAUAUCUAACAGAUUAGGAUCAUAUGGAAAGUCCUGGGGGAAAAUGUCGAUUAAUUUAGCUCCUCUAAAGUGAGAGGAAUGCACUUCAGCACUAACAAUUGCUGAUUAAAAUAUUGAAAGUUGAGAUUGUAAUUAACUUCAAAGUUUGUACUGUUGGAAUCACCCCCACCUUGCCAUUGGGGAUUGCCUAAAUUGUAACCUCAAAGCAGAUACUUUAGUCCCACAUCGACAAGGGUAUAUCCAACCUAUAGUGUAUAUAAAGUAGAGAAUCCUCAAUUGGUACCUAAACGAUGAUGUUUCAGUCUCACGUUGUUUAGUGAUAUAGCUAGGGUAUACAAGUGGGAUGCAAACCUUGAUUUAUAAGACUGAAGUUGAGUUAGACUUAUACCCAAAGUUUAAGAGUUAGACAUGUACUUGAUUUUGUCACGACACUCAACAGUUGAUCAUUCAAUCAAAAGUAAUAAGUGCCCUUUAUUAGCUUGGUUGUUGCAUUGUUUAAAAGUAUGUCAUUUGGAUUACAUAUUCACGUCAUUGUCAUCAUUAUUAUGUCAUAUCUAGCAGUUCUGAAAUGAUAUCAGAGAUAUAAAGAUGUGCCACUUGAUAGAUUUCUAGAUUGAGAAUCUAAUCACAACGCUCUUCCUCACCCAAGAACACAAGAAGAGCAGAGAGAUUAAGGAAUGUAUUCGUAGUCACAAUGUCUGUACAGCAGGUAACAGAGGCUUAACCCUCUUCACAGGUCAAACCUGUCAAACAACUAAUUCUCCAAAAGUCCCCUUCUAACUAUACAGUCANUCUAUUUAUAGAGUCCUCUCCUUCCUACCCUAAUCCCCUUUUCCCUUACCCUUAUUCUAUACCCUAACAAUACACCCCCCGCAGAACAACCUUGUCCUCAAGGUUAGAAUAGGGAAGCUUGGUCUCAUGGCUCCUCUUCCUCAUCGGGUUCCCAUAUGAAGGAAACCCAUUGGCUUUGCCCUUCAAUUCAAGUCAGGGGGCUUGAGCGGUGGCAAAUUUUCCUCUUUUCUCCUUUCACGUACUCUGAAUUCGAUAGGUUGCGGGUAUUCCUUUCCCUCCAGUCCCCAGUGGUUCUUGGAACUCUAAUCGCGCCACCACCCCGCCGUUCGUCCCCACGAACUCUGGUUCUUGGGCGCGAUCCCCCUCCCGUCGUAUGCUCACCCAAUUUCUUGAGUGAUAUCUGAUGUACCCUCCCCCGUUCCGACGACAGCCCAGUGGGCUCAGCACAAACCAGACUAUACUGGCCCAAUAUCUGCUCCAUCUCCUCCCUUUGCUUCUCAAUAAGGCCUUGGCAAUUCUGGAUCUCCUCCUUGGCCUCCAACGAGCCCAAUUCCCAAUCUAAUAGGCCAGCUUCUACGUCAACUAUUUUUGACAAAGUCCUGGAUCCCACUAUUUCUCUUUCUAACGUGGGGUCAUCUUUGAUUAUCUUCUCCUCCCCUUAUCGGUGCACCAUAGUUAACGUCUCCCAAUCCACCGUCACCUUCCCCAAUUUUCUCCACCAUUCCAUACCGAGAAUCAACUCCACACCUCCUAGCCAGAACCAGUAAAAUCGUUGAACAACGUCUACCAUCUUUAAUGCCGCCUGUUCAUAGCACCCACUGAUCUUCUUCCUUUGUCCUUCUCUUUUGGACCCAUUUUCCACGGCAGCGUCAUGUGCGUCGUUCCCUGCUUUGGUAUUGCUCUCGGGAUCAGCCAUGCCCCACUCCUCACGUGCCCUCACAACGCGUUCGACUGCCUUAAACAAUUCGUAAUCGAAAUUCAGCGACAACUUGCCUCCAGCGGUGGCCGUUCUCUUGAAGCAGUCGUAGUCCGAGAGCAACGCAUGCCACUUGCGGCGGCACUGCGUGAGGUUGCAUUGCACGUCCAAGGCGGCGCAGUUCUGGGCGAUGAUUUUCCACUGCUGGUAAGGGGAGAGUGCGACGGAGCAGUCGGCUUCCACCGCUGCGAUUUCGUUCACCAGAAUGAGCGACUCGAGGAUGCUCCAAUCUGGAGCCUCUGACGAGGUCAUCAUCGUCGUAAAUCUUCAUUUCUUUUUGCCCUCCAUGGUUCAGGCAGUCCCCCUACCUGGUGCGCCACCCCUUCAACGGUUGUGCCCCUCCGUUCUCCAAAUCGCCACACCAUUGCCCUCUUCAGUCCUUCCCAAGAAUGAUUCUUGGCUUUAGCUUUCCAGGCUUGGAUCCAAUAGGUAGCACUUCCUUCCAUGCUACUGUAUGCCCGACGCACUUUUUCUUCCUCUAUCACCCCUUGGGUCUCAAAUCUUGGCGUAUUACUACAUAAUCUUGGCAUAUUGUUGCCAUGUUCAUUUUCAAUUUGUGGGUCCUCCUCUCGAAGGUAUCGUUUCUUCCUUCCAUGCUUCCACCCUUUCUUGAUCACUUCUUGAUCCCUUCUUGAUCUGGCAAUCCCCUCCCCAGCCGAUCAGGCAGGUCAGACCAAUUGAUAGAUUCCUAGAUUGAGAAUCUAAUCACAACGCUCUUCCUCACCCAAGAACACAAGAAGAGCAGAGAGAUUAAGGAAUGUAUUCGUGUCACAAUGUCUGUACAGCAGGUAACAGAGGCUUAACCCUCUUCACAGGUCAAACCUGUCAAACAACUAAUUCUCCAAAAGUCCCCUUCUAACUAUACAGUCAAUCUAUUUAUAGAGUCCUCUCCUUCCUACCCUAAUCCCCUUUUCCCUUACCCUUAUUCUAUAUCCUAACACCACUGGUAUUUUGUCAAUUCUUGCGUUCAACAGUGGCAGUUAGUUGCACUUGGAAAGAUGAAACUAGUCCAUUCCAAUAGAGUACAGCAAAUUCUUUUACUUUAUGCACUCUCAAAACUGUUUUGAAGGAGAAAAACAGUUUCGAUAAUAGCAUGCUCUUGAAUUAGUUAACUUUAUAAAAAAAAAAAUCGUUUUUUUUCUUUAAAUAUUUUUUGGCUUGUCAAUAGCACCUCAUAAAAUAGUGUAAUCACAGAACAGCAUUGUAGAGCGGCUAGAGAAGGCCAAAAUUUCUAAAUACAAUCAUCACAUGCAUUAUACUGAAUGAAUAAAGUAGAAUCUGUUAAACUAUUUAAGCAAUUAAAAGACCAUUUUCCUUUGAUGUUGCCAUGUUGGGUAUAUUAAAU
rnacentral:lncRNA from 1 species